CACCCAUCGGGGCUUUGGAGAGCGUCCUGGGCUCGGCCGCUGGAGGGACGCGGGUAGCUGGACCUUGCGGGGAUGCAGGGUGCUACCUACGCGGGGUCGGGAAGAAAGGGUCCGGAAGAGUCCCCAAGAACCUGGGAUGGAGAAACUGAUGCUCAGAGAAGAAACUGAUCUGCCCAAGGUCACCACCUUGAGCUAGAGGCAGACUUGGAAACUGGAUGUGCGGGCUCCCACUGGCUUCACUCCCCACUGCCCACAUUUGGGUGGUUUUAGGUCUUUGUUGCUGCGCGUGGGCUUUCUCUAGUUGUGGCCAGUGGGGGCUACUCUUCGUUGUGGCGGAUUCUUAACCACUGAGCCACGAGGGAGGCCCCAAAAUAGCUUUUAACCAGAGGAAAGGGAGCUGGCCCUCUUGGAGGAAUGGAAGGAGAAGCAGAUGGCUGGAACAGAGGUUCAGGGGAAAAGAUACUAUGCACCUAAUAGGUACUCAACAUUUGAGUCAAUGGAUGAGCAAGUAAACGGUGGAGAGGCAGAAUGAGGCCAGCUUGCAGAUGGGGAUGAAGGCUGCAGAGAGCUCAGUGGCUGCCAGACCUCACAGCUAGUGAGAGGCAGAACAGGGUCCCUGCCUCCAAAGCAGCCCCCUUCUCUGGCCUCCUGCUGCCCUUGAGGAAGCCCUCAGCAGGGGCCCUCCUCCGUCUGCAACACAGGGUCACGGGGCUGGGCUUUCUGCAGCGGGUGGUGCAGGUGGAGGGGAUGAUCCGGCUGCCUGGCCCGGUGGCCUCUGCCUUCCCAGGGCAGCCAUCCAUCCUGCACUGAUUGGGUCCAGCCCAGCAGCUUCCGGGAUGAGCUGUGGGCACCUGGCCAGCGAGCUCAGCACCUUCCCUCUGUCGGAUCCUUUCUGUCUUUCUGUCUCUGUUUAUUUCUCUUUUCUCUGCUUUUAUUUUAUUUCUUUCUUUCUUUUGCCAGCCUCAGGGCCUCCUCCCCGGCCUUUCCCCAGGAGUAACCCCAGGACAUCCAGUGCCUCAGAAAUCACGGCUGCCCUCACUCUAGCUGUACCUCUCCUCAGCCACCUGCGUGACCCAGUGGAUAAAAAAGUACAAAGCAAGGGAAUACGGUAGUCACGCUCCCCUUUGUUCAAGCCCUUGGCUUCCUCUUCCCUGGUUGUGAAGCUCAGGAGGCCCGAAUCGGCCCCAUCUUUCCGAAGUAGAAGUGCUGGCCCGGAGAUCAGAGUUACGGGAGCAAGAAGCAAGGGUGGCAGGGCCCUGUGCCAGGCAGAAUGGAAAGGUGUGGAGGUUCAAGCCGCCAGCUGCCCUGCCUGCCGCGCUGCUUCUUCCAAACCCUUUGAGCAGACCCCCUUCCUUGGCGCUCAGAGCUCGCAGAUCUGUGAACCAUCCCUGCGCCCUCGCAGCCUGGUCCUGGCUGGCCUUCCUGAGGCCUUUGGCCCCUGGUUGUCGUUUUCCUCCUUCCCCAGGCCCCGCCUCAUCCUGGGGACUUCCAGCAUCCACAGGACACAGCGUCUGCCACCAGAGCCUCUCAAGGGAACCAACUCAAACCUGAGCCUCAGCCCUAGCCCCUGUCCACUCCCCAGAAUUUUCUGCUGCUCUUGGGCUUCCCACUCUCCCGAUGCUCUGGCACCCCACUUCACCACUCCCCUCUACUUGUUCUUCCAUGUCCCUGAGCCCCCCGGCCUCUGACCCCCUCACGCCUUUAUUUUCCCCACCUUGCCCGGCCCUCGGCCAGUCCUGGCAUUCGCUCCGUUGAUAUAUCGAGCCCCCUGGCCCCCAGGCCCUUGGCCACAGCUGACCACUGCCUGCCCUGGGUGGUCUGACCUCGACCUUCUCAGCUUCUGGCGCACACUGCUGAGAGCUGCUGGAGAAAACCACAGGGCGGGGCAGAUGGGGCCCCUGUGCACGAGGCCUCCAGGCCCAGCUGAUCCUCUUCCCAGCUCACUCCUCCACCCUCCCCAGAGGCUCCCUCAAACCUUCAGCCUGUUCACCAGCCUCCUCCCCUCCUCCUCCCAUGACUCAGCAGAUGACUUCAGCUUCUCCUUCUAGGAGAAGAAGGUUCCUGGGAGUCUCCCUGCCCUCUGCUCAGAAGUGCACCCCGCCUGCCUUCCAUCCCGGCUGACCCCUCUUCCAGGGCUCCUGACCUCCCCCACGUCAACAUAUCCACCUGUUCCUUCCACACCACCCCCAUCCUUCCAGCCUCUCUCUCUCCCCGGACUCUUUCCCCUGAGCAUUUAAACCAUCCCAGCCUCUUGCAGACAAAGGAAACCCUCCCUCUGCCAUGAGCCACCAGCAAUAUCAGAGUGUCUCUCCUUCAAUCUGACCAUUAAAUUACUGAUGAAAAUAGUCAUU